UACGUAGGGGGCAAGCGUUGUCCGGAUUUAUUGGGCGUAAAGGGCGCGUAGGCGGCCAGCACAAGUCAGUUGUGAAAUCUCCGGGCUUAACUCGGAAAGGUCAACUGAUACUGUGCGGCUAGAGUGCAGAAGGGGCAACUGGAAUUCUCGGUGUAGCGGUGAAAUGCGUAGAUAUCGAGAGGAACACCUGCGGCGAAGGCGGGUUGCUGGGCUGACACUGACGCUGAAGCGCGAAAGCUAGGGGAGCGAACGGG
rnacentral:rRNA from 1 species